rnacentral:rRNA from 1 species
UAGGGAAUCUUCCACAAUGGACGAAAGUCUGAUGGAGCAACGCCGCGUGAGUGAAGAAGGUUUUCGGAUCGUAAAGCUCUGUUGUUGGUGAAGAAGGAUAGAGGCAGUAACUGGUCUUUAUUUGACGGUAAUCAACCAGAAAGUCACGGCUAACUACGUGCCAGCAGCCGCGGUAAUACGUAGGUGGCAAGCGUUGUCCGGAUUUAUUGGGCGUAAAGCGAGCGCAGGCGGAAUGAUAAGUCUGAUGUGAAAGCCCACGGCUCAACCGUGGAACUGCAUCGGAAACUGUCAUUCUUGAGUGCAGAAGAGGAGAGUGGAACUCCAUGUGUAGCGGUGGAAUGCGUAGAUAUAUGGAAGAACACCAGUGGCGAAGGCGGCUCUCUGGUCUGCAACUGACGCUGAGGCUCGAAAGCAUGGGUAGCAAAACAGGAUUAGAUACCCUGGUAGUCCACGCCGUAAACGAUGAGUACUAGGUGUAGGAG